AUUGAACGCUGGCGGCAGGCCUAACACAUGCAAGUCGAGCGGGUGAAGGAAGCUUACACCUUGAUUCAGCAGCGUACGUUUGAGUAAUGCCCAGGGAUCUUCAUGCUAGUGGAGGAUAACUUCCGCAAACGGGCACUAAUACCGCAUGCGUCCUAAUACAGAAAGUGGGGGCACUUCGGACCUCACGCUAUCAGAUGACCCUAGUUCGGAGUAGCUAGUUGGGGUGCUAAUGGCCUACCAAGGCGACGAUCCGUAACUGGUCAGAAAGGAUGAUCAGUCACACUGGAACUGAGACACGGUCCAGAAUCCUGCGGGAGGCAGCAGUGGGGAAUACUGGACAAUGGGAGAAAGCGUGAUCAAGCCAUGACGCGUGUGUCAAGAAGGUAUCCGGAUUGCAAAGCAGAUUAAGUUGGGAGGAAGGGAAGUAAGUUACUACAUUGAUGAUUAGAAGUUAACAACAGAAAAAGCACCGGCCAAAUUAGUG
rnacentral:rRNA from 1 species